rnacentral:rRNA from 1 species
GGAUGGACCCGCGUCUGAUUAGCUGGUUGGUGAGGUAACGGCUCACCAAGGCGACGAUAGGUAGCCGAUCUGAGAGGAUGACCGGCCACACUGGAACUGAGAGACGGUCCAGACUCCUACGGGAGGCAGCAGUGGGGAAUAUUGGGCAAUGGGCGCAAGCCUGACCCAGCAACGCCGCGUGAGGGAAGAAGGUUUUCGGAUUGUAAACCUCUGUCGCAGGGGACGAGGAGAAGACGGUACCCUGUGAGGAAGCCCCGGCUAACUACGUGCCAGCAGCCGCGGUAAUACAGAGGUCUCAAGCGUUGUUCGGAAUCACUGGGCGUAAAGCGUGCGUAGGCUGUUUCGUAAGUCGUGUGUGAAAGGCGCGGGCUCAACCCGCGGACGGCACAUGAUACUGCGAGACUAGAGUAAUGGAGGGGGAACCGGAAUUCUCGGUGUAGCAGUGAAAUGCGUAGAUAUCGAGAGGAACACUCGUGGCGAAGGCGGGUUCCUGGACAUUAACUGACGCUGAGGCACGAAGGCCAGGGGAGCGAAAGGGAUUAGAUACCCCUGUAGUCCUGGCAGUAAACGGUGCACGCUUGGUGUGCGGGGAAUCGACCCCCUGCGUGCCGGAGCUAACGCGUUAAGCGUGCCGCCUGGGGAGUACGGUCGCAAGAUUAAAACUCAAAGAAAUUGACGGGGACCCGCACAAGCGGUGGAGUAUGUGGCUUAAUUCGAUGCAACGCGAAGAACCUUACCUGGGCUUGACAUGUAAUGAACAACAUGUGAAAGCAUGCGACUCUUCGGAGGCGUUACACAGGUGCUGCAUGGCCGUCGUCAGCUCGUGUCGUGAGAUGUUUGGUUAAGUCCAGCAACGAGCGCAACCCCUGUUGCCAGUUACCAGCACGUGAAGGUGGGGACUCUGGCGAGACUGCCCAGAUCAACUGGGAGGAAGGUGGGGACGACGUCAGGUCAGUAUGGCCCUUAUGCCCAGGGCUGCACACGUACUACAAUGCCCAGUACAGAGGGGGCCGAAGCCGCGAGGCGGAGGAAAUCCUGAAAACUGGGCCCAGUUCGGACUGUAGGCUGCAACCCGCCUACACGAAGCCGGAAUCGCUAGUAAUGGCGCAUCAGCUACGGCGCCGCGAAUACGUUCCCGGGUCUUGCACACACCGCCCGUCA